rnacentral:rRNA from 1 species
UACAGAGGUCUCAAGCGUUGUUCGGAUUCAUUGGGCGUAAAGGGUGCGUAGGCGGCGAGGUUAGUCAGGUGUGAAAUCUCGGGGCUCAACCCCGAAACUGCACUUGAUACUGCCUUGCUAGAGUACUGGAGAGGAGAUUGGAAUUUACGGUGUAGCGGUGAAAUGCGUAGAUAUCGUAAGGAAGACCAAUGGCGAAGGCAGGUCUCUGGACAGUUCCUGACGCUGAGGCACGAAGGCCAGGGGAGCAAACGGG